GAUGAACGCUGGCGGCGUGCUUAACACAUGCAAGUCGAACGGGAAUUAUUUUAUUGUAACUUCGGUCGAUAUGAUUUACUUCUAGUGGCGGACGGGUGAGUAACGCGUGGGUAACCUGCCUUGUACAGGGGGAUAACAGUCAUAAAUGGCUGCUAAUACCGCAUAAGCGCACAGAGCUGCAUGGCUCCGUGGGAAAAACUACGGUGGUAUAAGAUGGACCCGCGUUGGAUUAACUUGUUGGCAGGGUAACGGCCUACCAAGGCGACGAUCCAUAGCCGGCGGGUGAGGGGGAACGGCGACAUUGGGACUGAGACACGGCCCAGACUCCUACGGGAGGCAGCAGUGGGGAAUAUUGCACAAGGGGGGAAACCCUGAUGCAGCGACGCCGCGUGAAGGAAGAAGUAGCUCGGUAUGUAAAUUGCUAUCAGCAGGGAAGAGAUUGACGGUACCUGAAAAAGAAGCCCCGGCUAACUACGUG
rnacentral:rRNA from 1 species